rnacentral:rRNA from 1 species
GGGCCCGCACAAGCGGUGGAGUAUGUGGUUUAAUUCGAUGCAACGCGAAGAACCUUACCAGGGUUUGACAUCCUGCGAAUCUCUUGGAAACAGGAGAGUGCCUUCGGGAACGCAGUGACAGGUGGUGCAUGGCUGUCGUCAGCUCGUGUCGUGAGAUGUUGGGUUAAGUCCCGCAACGAGCGCAACCCACGUCUUUAGUUGCCAGCAUUUAGUUGGGCACUCUAGAGAGACUGCCGGUGAUAAACCGGAGGAAGGUGUGGAUGACGUCAAGUCAUCAUGCCCCUUACAUCCUGGGCUACACACGUACUACAAUGCUACGGACAGAGGGCAGCAAGUUCGCGAGGACAAGCAAAUCCCAUAAACCGUGGCUCAGUUCAGAUCGUAGGCUGCAACUCGCCUACGUG